AGAUUGAACGCUGGCGGCAGGCCUAACACAUGCAAGUCGAGCGGUAGAGAGGUGCUUGCAUCUCUUGAGAGCGGCGGACGGGUGAGUAAUGCCUAGGAAUCUGCCUAGUGGUGGGGGAUAACGUUCGGAAACGGACGCUAAUACCGCAUACGUCCUACGGGAGAAAGCGGGGGACCUUCGGGCCUCGCGCCAUUAGAUGAGCCUAGGUCGGAUUAGCUAGUUGGUGAGGUAAUGGCUCACCAAGGCGACGAUCCGUAACUGGUCUGAGAGGAUGAUCAGUCACACUGGAACUGAGACACGGUCCAGACUCCUACGGGAGCAGCAGUGGGAAUAUUGGACAAGUGGGACGAAAGCCUGAUCCAGCCAUCGCCGCGU
rnacentral:rRNA from 1 species